GCUGGGUGUGGAGGAGCACACCUAUAAUCCUAGCAACUCAGGAGGCUGAGGCAGGAGGAUCCCAAGUUUGAGGGCAGCCUCAACAACUUAGACUCUGUCUCAA
rnacentral:sRNA from 1 species